rnacentral:rRNA from 1 species
AGGGCACGAGGUGAAUGCCUUGGCUCCAGAAGUCGAUGAAGGACGUAGUAAGUUGCGAUAAGCCACGAGGAGCGACAAACACGCGCUGAUCCGUGGAUUUCCGAAUGGGGAAACCCGGCCAAUCAUGGUCGAUGUCAUGUGAAUUCAUAGCAUGGCAUCGGGACACCCGCUGAAGUGAAACAUCUCAGUAAGCGGAGGAAAAGAAAUCAAAGAGAUUCCGUAAGUAGUGGCGAGCGAAAGCGGAACAGCCUAAACCGGGAGAGUUUACUCACCCGGGGUUGUGGGACCUUAAUAUGAGUGACCAAGAGAAGCUAAUCAGUUUGGAAAACUGAACCAGAGAGGGUGAUAGUCCCGUGAGUGCAAUUAAGGAAGUUCUAGAGGUAUCCCGAGUAAUGCGGGACACGUGAAACCCUGCAUGAAUCCAGGCGGACCACCGUCUAAGGCUAAAUACUAACUGGAGACCGAUAGUGAACAAGUACCGUGAGGGAAAGGUGAAAAGGACCCCUGCUAGGGGAGUUUAAAGUUCCUGAAACCCCGUGCCUACAAAGUGUGGGAGCAUCUUCGGAUGUGACCGCGUGCCUUUUGCAUAAUGAGUCUGCGAGUUAUUGUCAGUGGCAAGCCUAAGCACUAAUGGUGCGUAGGCGAAGCGAAAGCGAGUGUGAAUAGCGCGACCAGUCGCUGGCGAUAGACCCGAAGCGGAGGUGAUCUAACCAUGGGCAGGUUGAAGCUGAGGUAAAACUCAGUGAAGGACCGAACCGUUGUACGUUGAAAAGUGCUCGGAUGACUUGUGGUUAGGAGUGAAAGGCUAAUCAAACCCCGUGAUAGCUGGUUCUCUUCGAAAUAGCUUUAGGGCUAGCGUCGGGAAUAGUACUCCGAGGAGGUAGAGCACUGAUUGGCUUAGGGUCCCUAACAGGAUACCAAAACCAGUUAAACUCCGAAUGCCUCGGAUCCCAUUAUCCCGGCAGUCAGUCGGCGAGUGAUAAGAUCCGUCGUCGAAAGGGAAACAACCCAGACCAUCGGCUAAGGUGCCCAAAUACCGCUCAGUGGUAAGGAUGUGACGUUACACAGACAGUGAGGAUGUUGGCUUAGAAGCAGCCACCAUUUAAACAGUGCGUAACAGCUGACUCAUCGAGUGACGUUGCGCCGAAAAUGAUUGGCGAUCAAGCGGUAUACCGAAGCCAUGGAUGUCUUAGGACAUGGUAGAAGAGCGUAGUCAGGCCAUCGAAGCUUUCCUGUGAAGGGGGGUGGAGGGCUGACUAGUGAGAAUGCAGACAUGAGUAGCGAUAAACAAAGUGAGAAUCUUUGUCUCCGUAAACCCAAGGUUUCCUGGGCCAGGCUCGUCCCCCCAGGGUUAGUCGGGACCUAAGGCGAGGCCGAAAGGCGUAGUCGAUGGAUAACAGGUUAAUAUUCCUGUACUAAGGUACAAUAUGGGACGCAUGAUGAAGGAUGGCACACACUAUGAUAUGUGAGUCUAGGCUUCGGCCGAAACGCGCCAUUUGAAUUUGUGCCGAGAAAACCGUACCGGCCCGUACCGUAUACCGACACAGGUAGGUGAGUCGAAUAGACUAAGGAGCGCGAGAGAAAUCUCUCCAAGGAACUCGGCAAAUUAGCCCCGUAACUUCGGGAGAAGGGGUGCCCACUUCGGUGGGCCACAGUAAAUUGGGACUGGCGACUGUUUACCAAAAACACAGCUCUCUGCUAAGUCGUGAAGACGACGUAUAGGGAGUGACACGUGACCAAUGCGGAAAGAUUAAGGUGACUUGUUAGCACUUGAUGCGAAGCUCGGAGCCCAAGUCCCCGUGAAUGUCGGCCGUAACUAUAACGGUCCUAAGGUAGCGAAAUUCCUUGUCGGGUAAGUUCCGACCUGCACGAAUCGUGCAACGACCGGUCCGCUGUCUCGGAGAGAAUCUCGGCGAAGUUGUAAUUGCGGUGAAGAUGCCGCAUACCCGCAGUAGGACGGAAAGACCCUGUGCACCUUUACUGUAAGCAAGUAUUGUGUUCUGAUUAGUGAUACGUAGAGUAGGUGGGAGACUUUGAAGUGAUGGCUUAGGUUGUCAUGGAGUCACAAUGUGAAACACCACUUUUUAUUAAUUAGGAUUCUAACACUGAUUCCUCUGAAGCGAGGCAGUGGACAGUGCUUGCGGGUCAGUUUGACUGGGGCGGUUUCCUCCCAAAGAGUAACGGAGGAGCACUAAGGUACCUUCAGCAUGGUUAGCAACCAUGCGUCGAGC